rnacentral:rRNA from 1 species
UACGUAGGGGCAAGCGUUGUCCGGAAUCAUUGGGCGUAAAGCGCGUGUAGGCGGCUAGAUAAGUCUGCUCUGAAAGCCCGGGCUCAACCCCGGGAGGCGGGUGGAUACUGUCUAGCUCGAGUCCGGAAGAGGAGUGUGGAAUUCCUGGUGUAGCGGUGAAAUGCGCAGAUAUCAGGAGGAACACCAAUGGCGAAGGCAGCACUCUGGGACGUGACUGACGCUGAGACGCGAAAGCGUGGGGAGCAAACAGG